GCUUUUCCCGCCCUUUUAACGGUUUCCCUCAGGCUCUUCCCGCCUUUCCCGGAGCUCUGCCCCCCCCAUGGCGGCCCCCCCGGCCCGGGAUUGGUUCCACUGCAAUCGCUGCUACUGCCAGGAAGGCGCCCGCUUCUCCGUCACCAGCUGCGGGCACGUCCUGUGCGAGGCCUGCCUGGGUGCAGGGCCGUGCCCCAUCUGUGCUGCUGUGUGCCGUCGCUUCCCCAUCCCUGAGCAGCUGGAGGAGACGCUCUUCUUAAAGAGCCCUGCCGCCAUCGCCCGGCAGCGCUUGGCACACAUCUCUCAGGCCUGGCGCUUCCAGCAGGCACAGGUGGACCUGCUGCUUGCCUCCCACCGUGACACAGCGCGCCGGGCUGAGGCGGCUCUGCGGGACACCCGGCGGGCAUUGGACUCCAAGCAGAGGGAAGCGGAGGCGCUGCGGAGGGAGAACGGGGAGCUGCGGAGGCACCUGCGGGAGGCUGAGGUCUCCCCUACCUGGCGGUCAAGCAGGAGCAGCACUCCUCGGCCCAUUGGCAUCACUUCCCCAGCUACGACAGUCACCCCACAGCCUCGGCGGCAGCUCAGUGGACAGGUGGUGAGCCGCUCGGCCUCACUGGAGUUCCCCUCGGCCAGCAGCACCCCGACGUGGCUGGCCCCAUCUCCAGGUUCCACCCCCAGUCUGGCCCACAGGGCUUCCCUGCUGGCUUCCCGUACUCCGUUGUGGGGUCCUUUCACCACUCCGCCGCUGCCGGUCCCCGUCCCGCCCGGUGAGCCCCAGCACUUUCUGUCCGCCGGCCUGCAGUCCCGCCGUGGCUGAGCCCACCAUGGCCUGGCCUCGACCAAGCUCGUACUGCAGCGCUGCCGUGUGCGGCUCAAAGAAGCGCCUUCUGGAGUGCUGGUGGCACCCCUGCAUUGUCCAGCAGUGCGGGACCAUCGCUGCCAUUUUGGAGUUCCUGUUGUCUUCCUACUCUUUGCAGUUCUGUGGGAUGUUUUGGGGCUGCCAGAGGGGUUCGCUGCUCCCCCAUGGUGCACCGCACCCCUCCAGACCUGACUUCCACCUCCUGCUUAGCAUCACCAUGCAGGCCAAGGUAAGCUUGGAGCCAGGGAACCUUGUGGAGACAGAGCCUGGCUGGGGCAAGCCCAAAAACCUAAUGCUGGGGAUGCCAAGGCCCAAUGGAAGCUCCUGUAGGAGCUGUGCCCUGUGUGAAAGGACCUCCUGGAGGGAACCCCAUGGCCCCAUAGAAGCUUCUGCUGAGCAGAUUUUGCUCAUGGGUAUCCUUAGGUCCUAUGGUGGGAACCUAAAGCUAGGUGUAGGACUCAUGGUGGGAACCCACAGCUACAUAAAAGCUUCCAGAGGGCUGAUUUCUGCUUGAAGAGAGGGAUCCAUGGAAGGACCUCAAGGACAUGUAGAGGUGUCAUGGCACACUCAAGGCCAUAUAGGGACCCCCAUGGAGCUGACCCUUACCCACCACAUCCCCUCGGCCCUGUGUCCAGCCCCAGACCCUGCAGUUUGACCACCUUGUGUUAUGGUGGUAGGAUCAUGGCCACCUGCCCGUAAAGGUAGCCACAUACAGCUGGUGGCCACCAGUCUGCUAUCCUGUUUGUCCCUGCAGGGCUCUACUAUGCAGGCAGUGAGGAAACCCACGUGGCUGGCUGAGCUCUUGUGGUGGGCUUGGGCCCCACCUGCAGCACCCUGGGCUGAGGCCUCAGCUGGGGGCUCCCAGUGGAGGCUGCCUGAGGCCUGCUCUGCUGUGUCGUCUUCCAGGAAACACGAUGUGAUGCCUCCUUGGUUUGCCAUGGUGCUGUGCAAUGUGGGGCAGCUGGCUGCACCACAUCUCAACCAACAGUGUGGCUGAGCUGCAGGAGCUCUGCGGAUCACAGCAAGUCCAGCCUGAGGCUCUGCAGGGAUGGAGGGGUGAGGAGCUGCUCCAGAGAUUUUUCUUGGUCGUGGAGGGGCAACUGCAGUCUGAAUCGGGGGUGUUUUGGCACAAGGAGUCUCCUUAGUUAAGAUGGUUUUGGGGUGAAGGGACUUUUUUCUUAAGAUUGAGAUUAACAUGGUUGCAGAGUGAGGUUAAGAUAGAAACAGCAGUUGUGGGGUGAGUUAUGGGGGCUACCACAGUUGGGGAGGGUGGUGAUAAAAGCUGGAGGCCACCACACCUGAGGGCUGCAAGCUCUAGGUCAGUACUGAGCAGAGCCACGGUGCUGCUGUCUUGGGAUGCAGAGGCACCUCUACGGCCAGGAAGGUGGCAGCUGCCCUUGGACUGAGGGCUGUCGCUGUGGCCUGGGACACCUCCCUCCCUCCCUGCCAGGUGUAUAAAGUUUCCUGAUUCGUUACAGCUGAUGUCUGUCAUUGUUGGAGGUGGGACGUGCGGUUGGUUGCAGCUCCUGAUAGCAGAGGGCGGGAUGUGAGCGCACGGUGAUGGAGGGGUCUGCCCCAGCUCGUGUGCUGUUGGAGCUGGGGGAAGUGAGAAGGGUGCUGCGCAGCCUGCAGGUGCUCCAAUAGCUCUGGGAUGUGUCGAGCUCACUGCGAGGCUCUGAAUGGCCUCCAGGUCCCAUCAGGUGGCACCGGGUUCCACCGGAGUGUUGUAGAGUACAGGGAAGCCUUGGAAGCCUCUCAGGAAGCCUCGGUGGGGCCUGGAGCAGAGCAGCUUUGGUGGCGUCUGAGUGGCUGGGAGGCGGCUGCCCCGGGAAGGUGAACGAGGAUCAGCUCUGGGUGGUGCUGGGAGGCCCGAGGGGUGCGGGGAGCUCCGCUGUACUUGGAUGCCUCCAGAAAGCUUUAAUCGCUACAAACUCCCAAAUCCUCACUCGGCAAAUCCAGAAACAGCUGCAACCCUUCUGUAAGGCAGCAGCCGCCCCGCAGCUCCUCCCUGACGAAACGCUCCCCAGGACGGAAUCAGCAAUACUGGUGGGCACGCAGCUCUAAGAGAACAAAUGCCAGCGAGCAGCGGCCGCCCCACGCAUCCCUUAAAAACGCAGCUCUAUCUGCUCACAGCUCACAGCUCCAGCACGGAGCCUCGCAGCUCAGACGAGCAGCGUCCACCGCCUUCCUGCUCCCGGAGCUCCAUCUGCUCCGCGCUCUGGUCUCCGUCUCGGACUCGCGUGCCCGAGCGAACCCCGGAAGCGGCCCGUUUCGCCUCAGCAGCGCUGAGCCGACCUGCGCUGAACAGCGAAGCGCCGCGGCUUCCCGGCUUUAUGGGGACUUGUCCAAUCGCUAUUGCGCAUGCUCCAGUGUGUGCCAGUCUUUGUCGUCAGUCGUCCAAGCUCUAUGGUCACCCGUCCGCUAGGCAGCAACGCGCGCGACAGAAACGCGGAAAUGGCGUUUCUUUACGGUUGCCGCUCUGCACUGCCACUCUAUGGUAAAAGGCUUUUCCGGCAGUACAGCGCAUGCGCAUGCAAACGCGGAAGUAGCGGCGUUCCGGUCCGUGCAGCGUGGCAAUGAAACGAGCAGGGAACGCACUGCCCUGCUGUGUGGGACUCACUGCCCUGUGCUGCGCGGCGAGGGAGAGGGGAAAAGGUGGUUGGCAUUCUCCUCCCCGGUGUGUGUCAGUGAAGGAAGUUCACCUUGAGGAUGAGUGAGGAAGAGCCCUGGAUGAAGUCAAAGGCUGUCAGUGGGGCUGUUGUGGUGCUAAAAGGACGCUGGGCAGUAGAAGAGAUCCUGGCAUAGAAGACUGGAAACCUCAUAAAUCACUGCCUGAGUGAGGUUUUGUUUCGAAAGGAACACUCAGAUGCUUUUUGGUGUCCUGAAUUACUUUACAACUCGAGGUGGAAGUUGGAGACUCGGAUCCAAUAUCCCAGAGCCACAGCUGAUGCUGCACCCAGGAGUCCAGGCUGUGCUCAGGAAUUACGCCAAGAUGAGGAGCUGCUGUUGGUCUUCAAGGAGGUAGGAGUUUGUUAUUAAUACACAACAUGAUAUUCCUUUUUCACUUUCUUUUUGGACCAGCGGUGGUAUGCAGGCUGACUCGGUGUGUUGGAAAAGUGUUUUGUGUUGUUGCCAGGUGACAUUAGCAGCAGAGCACUGGGCCGGGGCAGGGAAAGAUGGAGGGAGGGAAGGGGGCAAGGAGAGGGGGAUGGAAGAAGGAAAGGACAGGAACCUGCAGAGCGUCCUGAAAAGCAGUAAGGAGCUGUGGGAGGACUGCAGGGUGCCACGUGCUGUAACAGGUGUAUCUGUGUGCAUGGCCACGACUCGUUUGGGUCGGAGUUGUUGCUGCUUCUGAGCUCCUGCAGUGGGAAGAGCUGGAGCAGAUGGUGCAGUCUGUGCAGACCUGUGGGAUCCUUGGACAGCCCUCUGCUGUCAGGCUUCCUCCGUGUGCCCAAACUGUGAGCUGUGCCGUGCCUGGCUGCUCUGCUCCAUGCCUGCAGCUGCAUCUUUGUUUCCUUCUCUCCCACACAGAGCCCUGAGGUGCUCCCACCAUCCUCUGCCCACCCCCAAAAUGCUGAAGAAGACAUUUGGCAGUGGGUCAGAGGAGUGCCAGCACCCUGCUUUCCCUCUGCUUGCAGUUCUCUCCUCCUCUGCCCCACAGGACUCCAGCCUGAGCAAUGGGAAUGGGGUGGGGGACAGGGAGACCCUCGUGUGCUCUCUCCUGCUGCAGCAGGACCAGAGAAGGGCAGAUGAGAAGCUGCAGCUGAGCCUGAUGGACCUGCACAACUGCAAAAGUCCCGGUGGUGUGGCUGUCAGCAGAGGAAGGCGUAUCAAAUCCAUCUGUGUUACUAUGAGCACACAAGGACCAUGGAGUGAAGAUUCAACCAGUAACCAGGCUGUAUCAAACCAGAAGGUGUUACAGAGAUCACCUGCAGUGCUUCAGGGGCCACAGAAGAGGCUGUUCAAUGAAUUCAGUAUCUGACUUCUUACUCCUCCCUAUGUGAGCUGCAGUGGCUGUUUUUGUUGUUCUUCGAUCCUGGAGAAAUGACACUGUAAACAUUCAAGCCUUUGAGCAAACGAAGCGUCAGAAGGAAGACAACAAAACCCUCAGUGAGUGUUGCUGGAAGAAUAACAGCAGUGUGCAUUGAGUCUGCAGUAAAUACUGCUGGUGUGAUGUGUAACGUCAGGCAGUUAUGAAGGUCGGUUGGGACGAUGCUGGUGAAGUGGUGCUGAGAGCUGAAGGGAGACUGGAUUCCUGAUUUCUGCUGCUGAGAAACAGCCACGGAGGGAGGCAGUGAAAUGGAAAACAGGUUGGGGCUCAAAGCCCAGUUUAGAAAGAAAGGCGUUCUCAAGCAUCUUCAGGACGCCGCAGCUCUGACAGCAAUCCCUGCUCACAGCAAUUUGUCCUUCUGGGUUCUCAGCAACCUCAGGAAUUCAGGACAGGAUGGAGAACUGAGUGCUCUAACAAAUGAGAUUUCCCUUCACCAGCCCCACGUGGACCUCGCUUCUGACUUUUCCACAUGCAGGAAAGUGACCUCGCAGCUGCAGGUGCUUCCAGUGUUUGUUCUGGGAUGAAUAACGGUGGGAUCUGCCCCUCUGUCCCUCUCUGUUCUUUGCAGGAUGUGGUUUCUCACAGCGAAAAGCUUUCUAAGGAGAACAAGAAGCAAAAGGGAGGUUUGAAAGCUUCGAGCGAAUAGGAGAAGAAAUGCUGGCAGUCUGUUGGCAGCUGUUCUGCUUCCUUCAAGUGUGCAGGAUUCACUUUGCUCUUUAGGAAUUAAGCCAUUUUCCUUUAGCUCUGUACUUUGUCACUCGGGGAGGUGCUGGUUGUGAUCUGAUGCAACGCCUUCCUAAAACUCAGUCCAAUCUCAAUCCUUUUCUUACAAGGAGUGCCAGCAGGCUGUGAGCUCGGGCUUUGCAGGCCAGGGCAGCUGACACAGAGGGCUCUGAAUGUUCAAAAAGGAACGAGAAGGCUGAGAAUCAGGUGCUUUGUUUUUACCAGCUGUCCUCCCUAAGGAUUCUGCCUGUCUGAGGCACGUUUGGUGGCUUUGGCUGGAGCUGAGCUUGGUGCUCAUGGCUUCAGUCCUCUGUGAUACAGAGCUGCACCACCGGCUGCCCACACCAAACAUGCAUGUUGUUGGAGGAGAUUACUACAUGCAUUUUGUUUAUUUCAGAGUGUGAGAUGCUGUGUGACUGUGGAACCAAACUCUGUGACCCAGGUGAGAUUACAAAGCAGGUGUGGUUCAUUCAGUGCUGCACAGACACCGGGUGCAGGGGGCAUCGAUCCGCCUGACUUGGAAAGUCGUGCUGCAGAUACAGGCUGAACUCAGGCAUCGUCAGGAGUUUCCCUGGAUUCGGAUCCAUAUUCAUUACACCCCGACAGUUCAUUAGUGUGCACACCCUCCCCUCUUGUGUGUGGAUAGUGGGUCGUUGGAUGAAGAUUUGUUGUUUUCCUUGCAAAGGCUUCUGACCGUUUUUGCUGUCAACUCCUGGCCUUUCAGGGGGGCAUCCCCCCAAACCGGUUUCUUCUCGCGCUGUGGACAUCAAAUCCCCUCCCUGCCAAAUGUCCUCGGGCUGUUCUCAAACCUUAUCUUUAUGGCCUUCAUCCCCCUCACUAUCCCAGACACAGGGUCUGCCAUCCCUUAUUUUCUAACAAGCUCUACAUUCCUGCUUCUAUCAGCUAUCUCUAACUAUUCCCCUUCACCCCCUUAUUCUCAGUCACUGAAGCCUUCUUGCCUUUUGACUUUCACUUGUGGGCCCGUCUCACCUUUCAGCAUGCCUUCAAACAGCCCACGUCUACAAGAAACUUCUUUUUCUCUUUUCUUCUUUUUUCCUUCUUCCCUUGGAGCAGCAGCUCAGGGAAAUGUGGAUGCUUUCUUCUCUGCUGCUGUGCUUCCCAUCGCAGUAUUCCAGGAAUGGCUUCUGUCAUUGAUUGCCUUCUUGCUUAUUUUAAAUACUGAAGGGAACUUACUGUUCUACCCGCAUAAAACUCCGUUUUUUUCCAUUGUAGUUUCGAGUUGUGCUCUCGAAUGGAAUGUACAGCUGGAUCUACAACAGCUGCCAAGGAGCCUGCAGGCAAACGGUGAUGGAUUUCCCAGGGCAAUGCUGAGACGCCUCCUGCUGACCUUGGCAUACCUCGUGCUUCAUAUUAAUUCUUCCCUUGGGUUAAAAGCAGACCAAAUCCUCGAAGCCGUGCCUGGGAAUCCUGCUGUUACUGGAAUGGUUCAGCCGUGAUGCCCUGGUCAGAGCGCCCUGCAGCAGAUCCUGGCAUUGGUUGUGAAUGGGAGAACUCGCAACAAAUCGCUCGAUCUCAAAACCAAUCUGGUGGAUAUGGACGAGCCUCGGGCGCCCCGUGUGGGAUCCCAGCGUGGGGAGGCCGCAUAUGGAAGCCCUUCCUGCUGUGCUUCUGCUAAGAGUUGCUCGGCUGUUUUAUGUUGCUCUGUUAAUUGCUCCAAGCCAUCCUUGGCUUUGCUGCCAAUCUCUGUCUGAUUGAUACCAGCUUUUUCGUCACCUCAGACACUGGCUGAAAAAAAAUAAAAAUAAUAAUAAAUAAAUAAAGCAUGACAACAUCACUUUGCUGGUUAUUAAUUUAUUUCCACACAAAUUUCCACAU